UCUUUAGUGCGCUGCACACUCGCUCUCUCAGCCCGCGGGUUUCGGAACAAGAAGAAAGGAGAAAAAAGAGCACGAGCGCAUCAUUAAAGCCGACUAACGUGAAAACACGUGACGACACGAAGCAAAGAUGAAGAUGGAGAGCGUGAGGGAACUACAGAGAGGAGGAGGAGAGGACACGGGCUGUGAGGGACGCAGUGGAGCAGCCCUCAGACCUACAUCAGCAGGAGCGAGGACGACCCCCCCAGUCUGAGGACGUCCCCACCACAUGAACGGGGGACAGGAGGCGGUGCUUCCAGCCCAGCUGGUAGGAAAGUCCUCCUUGGGUGGACUUCUCUGUAACUAUGGACUCAUGCAUGCAGACGUUUCAGUCCACAGUGAUGUCAGUCAGUGCUUUUUAAAGAUGUGUGCAGGAUGUGAAAUCUUCACUUUGAUUGUUAAAUGUUCACUUUGUUUGUGCUUCAAAUAAAUUCACUUCAUGGAUGUAGAAUUACAGGGAUUAUUUUACAUAACCAUCAUCUUUAUCAUUGCAUUAAUUAUCAUUUCAUCCAAGCAUUUAUUGAAGUUGCUGGCAUUAUGUUAUAAUUUGUAUUACAGGGGUUAUCAUAAU